rnacentral:lncRNA from 1 species
ACUUGCAAUCUAGGCAAGCUACUUGAACUCUCUGGGCCUCAGUUUUCUUGUCUGAGCAGUGGGGAUGAUAAUAGUAGCUACCCGAGGAUUAAGAGACACCUAUGGAGCGCCUGGUUCGAUGCCUGGCACCCACUCAAUCCAGUUGUAACUGCUAUGACUACUCAUCAUUAACAUAAGACAGCUUUGUAACCCCAGGUUAGCGGGAGCAGGGCCGCUUAGCAGGUGAAGUCUGUGCCAACCUCCCCAUUUUUUCUCUUUCCCACAGUGCUAUGAUCCUGAGUCUACCCCCCACCCCCGAUCUAACCCAAGAUGAAAGGAGUAACACAUGUUAUUAAAUCUUCCAGCCUCAGAUUUCUUCAUUGCUCUCCUCUGAACACUCACUUUCAGAACCGAGGAUCAGGCAUUGCAGAGGGAUGUGGAAAAGGGGAGAUGGUCCCUCUCAUCCAAAGGCAGUUGCAAGAAUCUGAAACAAAGUGACAGACUACUGAAAUCACAGACUCUGACAAGUCGAGAAGUGCAGUGUCAUCCAAGCCAAACCUCUUCUACAAUCUCUGAAAGAUGCUCAUCUUCUGGCUGAAUAGUCCACUGAAAAGAUACUCACCAUCCCACUGACACAGUUCCAGCCAGCGUUUAUGGAGCACCUGCUGCGUGCCAAGCUCUGUUCCCCUGGCCCCUGGCCCCGUGGAGUCUAUGGUCUGAGGCAGGGGGGAAGGUGAGUGAGCAAGUAGCUAUAGUUACAUGUGGGCUGUUUUAGUUGCCCCCUGUUGUUGAAGGAGGUUAUUCCCAACCUGGGG